rnacentral:SRP_RNA from 2 species
GCCGGGCGUGGUGGUGCACGCCUGUAAUCCCAGCUACUUGGGAGGCUGAGGCAGGAGAAUUGCUUGAACCUGGGAGGCGGAGGCUGCAGUGAGCCGAGAUUGUGCCACUGCACUCCAGCCUGGGCAACAGAGCAAGACUCUGUCUCAA